UGGCAGUGAUGAGAAAUUGAAAGGCUGGUCUUAUGGCUGCCUCCGAGACACGAAUAUUCGAGAUCUUCUCGUCGUCGUUCCGGGAUGGUAGUAGCAUGAUGUGAUAUGAUUCGGCGAAAGGUUUUCUCUGAGCCAU
rfam:Triticum urartu cultivar G1812 contig420193, whole genome shotgun sequence.